rnacentral:rRNA from 1 species
AUGGACUCUGCCGAAGAAGAUACACAUGGGACGGACACAUGUGUCCACUUCAGUUCCUGCCGGCAGACAGCGACGGAGCACCUCACUCGCUCACACUCACAUGUCAUCACAGUGAUAACCUUCAUAAUAACUUGCACCGGCACCCCCACACACUUCUCCAGCUAUAAGAACCGGCCGCUCUCUGCCCAACUGACACAGAGCAGAGCAGAUCGAGCGCCACCGUUGCAGGAAAUGGAUUGCGGUACCGACGAACACCAACACGGCCAUGGCGACGCGACGGAGUGGAAGAAGGUGGCGGAGCUGAGGGCCGUCGCCGAGGCGCAGGACCCCGCAGCCAAGGAGGAGGAUGACUUUGCGCUGCGGCGGUUCCUGCGUGCCCGGGACCACAACAUCGGCAAGGCAUCGACGAUGCUCCUCCAGUACCUCACCUGGAAGCGCGUCGCCAAGCCCCGCGGCUCCAUCUCGGACGAUGAGGUGCGCAACGAGAUCGCAAAGGACAGGGUCCGCAUGCAGGGCUUCGACCGCCUCAACCGCCCCAUGGCGUAUCUCUAUGGCGCACGCCAUUUCCCUGCCCAUCAUGACCUUGGCGAGUUCAAGCGCUACGUCGCCUAUGUCCUCGACAAAAUCUGCACUAGGUUGCCAGUGGGGCAGGAGAAGUUUGCGGCGGUGAUAGACAUGAAGGGGUGGGGGUAUGCGAAUUGUGACCUCCGGGGUUACGUGGCGGCAUUGGAAAUCAUGCAGGGCUAUUACCCGGAGCGCCUUGGCCGGGUGUUCCUGAUCCAUGUGCCCUACAUGUUCAUGGCAGCAUGGAAGAUGGUGUACCCGUUCAUCGACGACCGGACCCGGAAGAAGUUUGUGUUUGUCGCCAAUAAGGACCUCAAAUCCACGCUCCAGGGCGCCAUUGACGAGUCCCAGCUCCCCGAGGAGUACGGUUGCAUGUUGAAGCUUUAG